rnacentral:lncRNA from 1 species
CACAUUUUAUGUUUUAUAAAAUAGAUUAAAUGUAUUUCUAUUGCUCUUUCUGUCUCCAGGUAUCGCAGGCUGCAGCAGAUUUAAAGCAGUUCUGUAUACAGAAUGCUCCACAUGAUCCUCUUCUCACUGGAGUUUCCUCGAGUACAAAUCCCUUUCGACCCCAAAAAGUCUGCUCCUUCCUGUAAACUUUUUAAACUUUUUUUUAUUUUAUUUUUCACCCAAAAGGUAGGUCUGGUUUAAAUCUAACUAUUCUCCUAAACAGUUGUCCUUGAAUCAAUUCUCUUGUAUAUUGGGGAUAAUGGUGCUAUUGUGUGAAGUGGGUUUUUUACAAUACAGGGGAUCUCCCUGUAUCAAGAUACCUGGGUUGCUUGGUAAAAGCAGGGAAUUAACCCCUGUUGGUACUUCCACUCAUGACGGUCUGUGCCAUCACUGAGCAGUAAAGACCUGCACUGCGUGAUGUCAUAGACUGUCAUGUGGUUAAUCAUUUAGCCUACAGAAUUGUAAACUAAUAUGUAAUGGCCGUUUAAUAUCUGCCAAGCUUGUCCCAGUCUCUCUGGUGUAUGCAUUCGUUCAUCCAGAGAUGGAAGCAUGGAAUUCACAAUUUGGCUUGUCAAUGCCCAGGUAGCCAUGGUUGGCACAGGCCUUCAUAGAUCACUGCCAGUAGUGAUAAUUGAUUGACACUCCAAACAGCCCUCAGUGACUACAAUGGCUAGACCUCAUUCAUACCUGGCAUUGCUUGACUUGUGCAAACAGGGCAUGGUAGUAUACACAUUUAAUAAGACUUAUUGAAAUUCCUGUUCGUUUUGUUCCUGUCUAGAUUUCCUUUUUUUGAGGGUCGAUGGAGUCCAGACUGAACCUAUAAAAAGCUUUGCCUUGUGACGUGCCAAGUCUUCUUUCUACAUCUCUACCUCUCCGGGGUGAGCUACUCCAAAUGACGUGCCUUUCUUUCCUAACUUCAGAAUACUUUUUAUACACUGGCAGCCACUAAUCCGAAAAAUAAAAAAAGCAUUUCGUGGUAACAUUGUCUCUUGUGCAUCAUGAACACAUUAUUUGGUAUUUUAACUUGAAUUUGCAUAAAACAUAGAAUUAUUUACUAAACUGGAGAUUGUAAACAUUAAACCAUAAUGAUUCCUUUAUUCAAUCCAUGGUUUGGUGAACAUACUCUGGGUGCUCAGUGCAAAGCACCAACAAACUCCCACAGCACUAUGGGUGGUUUAACAAAUAUGUAAAUGUAAUCAGACAAGUUGGGACACACAGGAACAGAGCUCAAUAAGUUUAUAUGUUAGAGGGACACAAAGGGUAAGGUUAGUGCAGAGGGAAAGCUAUUGGCAGUUUAAGUAGAGGGAGGUUCCACGGGAAUGGUGCAGCCCUAGGGAAGUCUUGCAGACAAGCUUUAUAUUUGCGAAUAGGAACAGAGGAUAGACGUAGAUCUCUGGCAGUGUAUGGGCAUAGACGGGACAUAAUUGUGGAGGGGGGGGUGGGCAGACAGGAAGAUGAAGAACCUUACAGCUGCAUUCGUUAUAAACCUGCAACGGGGCCAGAUGACGGCAUGGAACAACACUUCAGCUGAGUCCGGCCCUAAAUAGGGGCGGAUGCAUGCUGUUUUUGAGAUGGAAGUGGCAGGAUUUGGCAAUUGGCUGUAUGUGAGGGUGAAGAGACUUAAGUUCCAGAACACCUAGGCAGUGAGGUAGAGCUGAUGGUAGUGCCAUGGAGGAAAAUCGUAGCAUAACCAGAUUGGUUUCAUGCAAACCUCCAGCUGCUUUUAUGUAGGGAACUUUUUUUCCUUGAGAAAAGAAUGCCAAACAGUCAUGGAUACAAAAUGACUGCCACGUUAGACACCCCUAGAAUAUGAAGUUUUUUGUUUUUUUUUCACACAGGUGGAAAGUUAUACCUUGAGUUUGUCCUACCUGCUGUAGGACAGUUAUGUAUUAGUUUAACCCCUUAAGGACCAAACUUCUGGAAUAAAAUGAAAUCAUGACAUGUCACACAUGUCAUGUGUCCUUAAGGGGUUAAAUAUCAUGUGGCCUCUUGUACCUUGUUUUCUGCCUGUCUUUGAGGUUGACUUUUUUUCUUUUCUUGGAGGCCUUGGUCCCCCAGCUGUUUUAAUAUUCCUGCAGUGGAACACAUUUGAGGUGCCUGUAUGCCAUUGCAGGCACCCUCCCAGUGUAGAAGAUACGCACAGAGUGCCCUCUACUAAGCAAUCAUACCACCAAAACCUGAAACUUGGAAUAAUGGUUCCAAAAUAUGAAAGCCCUGUAGGAUAGGGAUUGACAAACUUGCUAAAGUGUUUUUGUUUUAAUGAAAAG